AGACACCUUUCCUGGGAAGAGAGCUGACAAACCUUCUAUGGUAAGGGGUGAACAUCCUUGGGAAGCCACAGAGAGCAAGGCGCAGUUUUUCAUUGAUCACCACCUUCAAGAUGCUCCCAGAAUCGUGCUGUCUAGGAAGCCAUUUAAACUGGUGAGAAGCCAUCCUCUCUUGAAUGGGGGCUCCCACUGUACAUCUGGCACCCACUUCACAGGGGGGGAUGGUGGAACACGCUGACUGGUCUGGGCUAUUCAAGAUCCAUGAACUGGAAGAUGCUUUCUUAUAACUCAGAGAAAAGAGAUGAAAAUGAAUCAAAGAACAGGAAGGAGACAAGCUCAGGAGAGUCACCCUAAGAAGGACGUGUGGAAGACUUGACUGAUUGGAGGAUCAAAAUGUGUCGGGGGAAGGUGUACAAGGAGGAGUAAGGACACAGAUGUCCUGACUUCACACAGUGGGGGAUUAGAAGCCACCAUCAAAUACAGAUGAAACAGGAAUAAAAGUAGUAGUACAUUACUUAAGCUUUAAAAGGGUAAGACUCCUGGGAAUUUGGAAGCUGAGACUUGAGGAGCAGAGGCAUCUAGCUGUGUAAACACAGAGUUUCAGUGGCAGCACCCUAAAUGCUUAGCUGAUAGAUCCGGAAUUAAAUACAGACCUAGAAACUGGAGUUGGAAAACUUCCUGGCAGCACUCCUUCCCUGCCAUCCCGGUGAUCCCCUUCUGGAUGGAGGGCGUGGAGCUCAGCACAUUCACGUCUGCAGUUCUCAGAGAACCAAGUGUUAAGGAAUGUCAGGGAAGGAAGAAGGCAGCCAGCCAGGAAGGGGAGGUCCUGGCCUGAGCACGCCAGGCAUAGAGGGAUAGAGGGUAGCGAGGAAACUGCACCUGUCUCCAAUCCUCGACCCCGGCCCCGAAACACGACAUUGGCUGAAACAGAUUAAAAGCAUAAAAUGGCACAAAGAAAUGGGAGAAGGUUGGCCUCUGGUUGGGCAAACAUGAGGGCAUGAAGAUGUAUAGUGUCCCACACGGGAGGAAGCCCUUGCCGGGCCCCUCAGGAUUUAUAACAAGCUCACCUGAAGGAGAAACUUCAGGGGCACUUACACCAUCAGAUACCUAGAAAGGAGCUGUCAUUUCCUCACUGAAGAGUUUGCAAGCAGAUGGUAAAAGGGGUUUAAUUUGAAAACACUGAAACAUCGUGUUCACUCAAAACCAUGACAAUUGCAGUUUUAUUGUCUCCACUCAGGAAAAUGUGUGUCUGGAUCAUCUUGUGGCCCGAAUGGGGAGAAAAGCACUAUUCACAAUAGCCAAGAUAUGGAAUCAACAUAAGGGUCCACAGCAGAUGAAUGAAUAAAGAGGAUGUGAUGCAGUAUUCCAAAGCAGGAGAUUCACUGAAAAAGAUGUUUAAGAAGUUGCUGAUGAAGAAAAGUUCAGGAUUCACAGCUCCAUCCAAAGGGAAUAGCCACUUUUCUCAUUUUGAGAUAUGACUACUAACAAGUAUUAUUCUGCAUCUUCAGCCAGGCUGUGGAAGGCCCCAUUCUUUCUGUAACACAGAUGUUCAAUUGGAAUUUUCC
rnacentral:lncRNA from 1 species